rnacentral:rRNA from 1 species
GACGAACCGUGCGAACGUUAUUCGGAAUCACUGGGCUUAAAGGGCGCGUAGACUGCCCGCCGCGUCGAGCGUUGAAAGCCCCCGGCUCAACCGGGGAAGCGGCCUCGAAACGGGCGGGCUCGGGUGGAGGAGGGGGACCCGGAACUCACGGUGGAGCGGUGAAAUGCGUUGAGAUCGUGAGGAACGCCCGUGGCGAAAGCGGGGUCCUGGACUCUGACCGACGUUGAGGCGCGAAAGCCAGGGGAGCGAACGGG